rnacentral:rRNA from 1 species
UUACCUACGGGACGCAGCAGUGAGGAAUAUUGGUCAAUGGGCGGAAGCCUGAACCAGCCAAGUCGCGUGAGGGAAUAAGGCCCUGCGGGUCGUAAACCUCUUUUGCCGGGGAGCAAAAGACGCCACGUGUGGCGUUCCGAGAGUACCCGAAGAAAAAGCAUCGGCUAACUCCGUGCCAGCAGCCGCGGUAAUACGGAGGAUGCGAGCGUUAUCCGGAUUUAUUGGGUUUAAAGGGUGCGCAGGCGGAAGAUCAAGUCAGCGGUAAAAUUGAGAGGCUCAACCUCUUCGAGCCGUUGAAACUGGUU